rnacentral:rRNA from 1 species
CGAGUGAGUAACACGUAUCCAACCUGCCGUCUACUCUUGGACAGCCUUCUGAAAGGAAGAUUAAUACAAGAUGGCAUCAUGAGUCCGCAUGUUCACAUGAUUAAAGGUAUUCCGGUAGACGAUGGGGAUGCGUUCCAUUAGAUAGUAGGCGGGGUAACGGCCCACCUAGUCUUCGAUGGAUAGGGGUUCUGAGAGGAGGUCCCCCACAUUGGAACUGAGACACGGUCCAA